rnacentral:lncRNA from 1 species
AAUGAAAGCCAGCUUACUUCGGAAUAUCGACAAGAAAUUUGCAAACCGAUGCUUUGAUCUGUUGAAAUUCCUUUUUUUCUGCUUUUGUUUUCCGUUCCUCUUUGGUUAGAGUUACCUCACUAGUAGUGUUACAGUUACUGCUUUGAAAGGUUUAUUGAAAGUUGGUUUUCGGUGGGUAAUGGUUCGGUUCGGUUUUGAAAAAAUGUGGUUAAUGUUCGGACCAAAUUUCAUAGGUAAUCUAGCCUUCUCGAAUUGAAUAUCAUAUGUGGAGAUUAAAUUGGUUGUGUCGGUUUUUUAAAAUGGAGGCAGCUCAUUCAGCAAUGUAUAUCUAUGGUAACAUAUAAGGUUGUAGUCGAUGUUACUAGUUAAUGGGAGCCCUCUGAGACACGGAUUGCAUCAGGAUGACCCUUUACCCUCUUACCUAUUCCUGUUGUGCCAUCUCCUUAUUCGUGCCGAGGAAGAACAACGAAUCGCUCAAGGAAGCCCAUUGAUAUCUCAUCUCUUAUUCGCAGAAUGAUUGGUUUUGGUUUUUCAAUGCAAAUGUGCAUUCUGAGAGUAUACUAGUUCUAUAUUCUACUAAUAAAUCAGAAUUAUUCUUUAGUCCAGCUGGGAUUGUGGGUGUCACCCAAAUAAGAGAAUCUUCUUCCUAACUUUUAUUGAGAAGAUGCAAUUGGAAUUAGCUAUAAGGAAAUCAAACUGCCUAUCCCAAGCUGGUUGAUGCACCUUGAUUCGGUUUGUAUUAUCUUCUAAUCCAAUCUAUUUGCUAUCUCCGAAGUUUGUUGGGAGAAGAGCUUGAUUUUAUUAUGCGAAGGUUUUGGUGGGGUAAUGAUCCGAAUCAGAGGAAACUUCACUUUGGGAAACCGAAAACCAACGGUGGACUUGGUAUUCACAGCAUGGAGUGAUGCAUUACUUAGUAAGCAGGCCUGGAGGUUACUGACUGAACCCCAACACUUCGCCCUUUAGGAAAAUAUCAUCAACACCAACAUUUCUUUAAUGGAAAAGUUUAGUUGAAGGAGACGAGAUGGUUGUUUGAGUGGUAUUGAUAUCCAAAUUUGCAAGGUGCAAACAACUCUUUUUAAGUGACUAGGUGAUGGAUGAUGGCUAGACAAACUUUCUAACCCAUGCUUCUCACUCUACAAUGGAAAACAAAAGGUUAGAUGAUUUUUUAUUGAUGAGAAGUUGUAAAUGAUAUUAUUAGUUUAAUUAGAAGUUAGAUUUCUUUUAAAAAUUGAGUAAUUUUUAAAAAAUAAUAAUGACAGGAGAAACAGACUAAGAUUAUAUUCAAGUUGUUCGACUCGAGAAAUGUUUGGAUUUGGAAAAGAUAAAAUAAGGAUUAAGGUGAGAUGGAGAAAGAUUGAAUGGGAUGAUGAAGAAAAAGUGUUCUCUUAUGAAACCCUUUGAAGAAUGAUAUUUUAAUAAAUUUUACUAGGGUCGUCGUUUUUAGGGGAUUGAUCAGAGCGAAUUGUAAUGUGGAGGUUGAACAGUUCUUCUACGUCUUCUAACAUAAACAAAAGAGAAAUAUCCCGAACAGAAAUAACUUAAAAAGUUGAACUUUAUUAAUCAAGGUGUAUUUUAUGAAUAAUGAAUAGAUCUUUAUUUCAACUACCUAAUUACACAAUGAAUCAAUAAAUAUACAUUUAUAUAAUAUAUAAAGAAAUAAAGAUUUUUUAAUGGGAUACUAUAAUUUGUAUCCUUAAAUUUGGCAACUUGGUACACUUUGGUAAUUGAAUUUGACAACUAGAUUCAUUUGGUCCUAAACUUGAAAAAUAUAAAAGUUUGAUAACAUAUCACUCUAAGAUUGUGCUACAUCAUCACUUAAAAAUUAAAAAAUUAUAUAAAUUUUUAAGUGAUGACGUGGUACAAUAUUAAAAUGUUCCGUAUAAUGUUCUAAUAAACGAACCAAUGGUUAAACUGAUUAGACCACUGAUUUCAGAUUCAAUAGGUUUGAUCAAUUCAACUGAUAGACCGGCAAUAGUUAAAUGAAUAAUUAAAAAUUCAUAUAAUUUUUUAAAAAAAAAUUAAACGAUUCAACAUGUUUAACUACUAGUUUUUUUCCCCGUUUUCAAUUUUUACCAGUUUCGAGUAGUUUUCUAAUUCAAUUAGUUCAACCCCUUUGUUUGGAUCAGUAUACCAGUCGAUUCACGAUCCAAUCUGCCUGAUCUGCCAAUCCAGUUAUGUUCUAAGAACAUUGAUCACAUCAUUAAAUCUUGACGGAAUCCAAGUUCAGGGAUCAAAAUGAACUUAAUUAUCAAAUUUAGGGGCUAAAAAUUAUAUUUAUCCCUUUUUUAAUAGUGACGUGGUUAAAAUAUUUCCUCGUAAUUUAUUUAGAAAAAAGAGAGAAAAUCUUCCAAAAAUCUUUUCUUAUAGGAAGGGUAUAUUCGUAAAUAUAAAAACUGAAGAGAUUUUUAUAACCCUGGCAGAAAAAUAAAAAUAAAAUUUUCUUGCUAACAUCUCUUUGGUUUCUCAUCUACAGCUUCUCUCAUGGCUUCUUGCUUGGCUCCCGUUUCCAUCUCAGGUUUUUUCAAUUUUAGCAAAAUUUCCCCUUUUUAUUAAUUUUCAUUUUCGAGUGUAAUUAUUACUUUUCUUGUAUCACUUUUUUGUUUUAGCUGAAGAAAACGUAAUAAUUCGCUUCAUUAAAAGUAAAAAAUUAUACAAUUUUUACAUUUAUGAAGAUAAUUUUUAAACUUCAAUUAUUAAAAUAAAAGUUGUGAUUUUGUGUCCUAUGAGUGUGAUAUGGGUAUGUUUGAUAUAGGCUUGCUUAGGUUUGAUAUGUUUUGUUUUAUAUAUAUAUAUAUAUAUUUGAAGAAUCAUAUCUUAAUGUUCAUGUUUGAAUAUAUAUCGGACACUGAUGCUUUAGGAAAAUUGAUAACUUGGUAGCAUCAAGUCUUAUUGUAAGCUAUUAAAGCUCACUGAGUGAGUAUUAGUUCAGUUGUUAUCAUUGUUGUUGCAGUAAUCUAGAGAUUGUGGGUACGAGUGUGCAUGUAUAAUGUCCUCUAAUUUAGGGAUUGAGGGGUUCUGGGUAGUUUAGAUGUUGUAUCCAAAAAAAAAAAAGCCGGAGGUUGCUAUGAUGAAGAUUCAACAAAUAAAUAGUAAAUACUUGCUUUCUUUGAGGAUUAAAGUUCAUAAAGAAAGCAAAAAGAAACAAAAAAGAAAAGACUAGAAGUAGAUGUGCUUCAAGUUUGUUAAUUUUAAUUUGUUCGAGCGAUUAAAGUUUGAAACAUGUUCAUGUAUGUAUUUGUAGUUGGUAAGAAAAAAGAAUAGCAAUGUACUUCUGUCAUAUUCUGUGUGUUUUUUUAUUGGGAAUGUAAAUUUUAGGAAUAGAAAUUUUAGGAUUAUUGAUGAUUUUCCUUGAUAUCAAAUUCUUAUGGUUUAGGGUUCACAAGUACAAAAAGAAGAUUUUAGGAUUCAAAUGCCAUAAUUAUGAGAAAAACAAUCAUAUGCCAUCCCAAAAAUGAAUGCUUUGCUGCUUUGGUUUUUUAUUAUCAUAUCUACUGGGCUUGGGGCUAGUGAUGGUUUGCUAUUGAAAUAUGACAAUAAUGAUUUAUUGAUGAGCUCUUGCUUCAUGCUCAAUUUACUAUUAUUCUUUGGUUUAUAGGUGGUUCUCAUCUCAAGGCACGUGAGGUUUGGUUCACUAAGUUCAGCACCUUUGGGAAAAAACCAAGUUUGGUAGUUCGAAGGAAACCAUUGUCAUCGAAAAACCAGUUUUCAGUUUCUGCUGAAUAUCGGUAUGUCGUUCUGGAUUUCAGUCCACUUGAAAUAGCUUUGGAUGAAUGUUCAUGUUUCUCAUAAGAGUAUGCUUAUAAGGGGUAAGCUGAACCUAUGAUUGUGUUAUUGCUACUCAAGUCGUCUCUCUAGUGGUUAAACUAGACUGCUCAUAUGCUGUCUGUUGAGGGGAGGUCGCUCUCUGAACCGGUCUUGGACCCUCAACGGAGGUAUUGUUCCCAGGGUGUCUAUGCUCGGUUUUAGCCCAGGUUUUUUCUCCCGCACUCCGAGGGGUUUGAACUCAUGUCCCUAAAGGGUCUUAGUGGGUAAGAACACUACCACUUGAUGUGGAUUUGGUAAACCUGAAAUCUGUAUAAUAGAACACCAUGGAAGUUGUACAAGUUUGCAACAAAUAUAAGGAAAACAAAUACGAAAUCUGAUAUUCAAUUGUUAAAAAACUCAAGUAAUAUCCAUAUCCAAAACUCUCAGGGUCAUUACAUUUUCUCUUUAGAGUUUCUUUUGUUUCAUUGUUGAUUUCAUUCGGAAGACUGAUGUAAAUAGAAUCAUUUCUAGCAAAUAAUAUGUUAUCAGACCCUUGUGAUGUUAAAGUCAUUGAUUCAAUGAUUUCUCUAUUAAUAAAAUUCUAUUUGAUGCUGAACAACCUUCUCCUCUCAAUGCUCAAACUCCAAAAAUUUAAAGCAUAGACCCUUGUGUUAUGUUUAGGUUUAUUUCAAGUAGCAUUUUGCGAAUUGCA